rnacentral:tRNA from 1 species
UUAGUAAAAGCCAAAGAUUAUAGGCAUAUUAAUGUUAAUAAUAUCAUUGAAUAGAUAAUAUUCUUACUAAA